AUGAACGUUGGCGGCGUGGAUUAGGCAUGCAAGUCGAGCGAGAACCCCGCAAGGGGGGACAGCGGCGAAAGGGACAGUAAUGUGUAGAUUAUCUGCCCUCAGGUCCGGGAUAGCUGCGGGAAACUGCAGGUAAUACCGGAUAACAUCUCCGGAUCAAAGGUGUGAUUCCGCCUGAGGAUGAGUCUGCAUCCUAUUAGCUAGUUGGUGGGGUAAUGGCCUACCAAGGCAUUGAUGGGUAGCAGGUGUGAGAGCACGACCUGCGUCAUUGGGACUGAGACACUGCCCAGACACCUACGGGUGGCUGCAGUCGAGAAUCUUCGGCAAUGGGCGCAAGCCUGACCGAGCGACGCCGCGUGUGGGAUGAAGGCCUUCGGGUUGUAAACCACUGUCAGAGGGGAUGAAAUGCAGGUGGGUUUUCCCAUCUGUUUGACAUAGCCUCAGAGGAAGGACGGGCUAAGUUCGU
rnacentral:rRNA from 1 species